rnacentral:rRNA from 1 species
ACGAACCGUGCGAACGUUGUUCGGAAUCACUGGGCUUAAAGGACGCGUAGGCGGCUUUAUAAGUCGGGGGUGAAAGCCUGUGGCUCAACCACAGAAUUGCCUUCGAUACUGUAUGGCUUGAGACCGGAAGAGGUUAGUGGAACUGCGAGUGUAGAGGUGAAAUUCGUAGAUAUUCGCAAGAACACCAGUGGCGAAGGCGGCUGACUGGUCCGGAUCUGACGCUGAGGCGCGAAAGCGUGGGGAGCAAACAGGA